rnacentral:rRNA from 1 species
UACGUAGGGGGCUAGCGUUGUCCGGAUUUAUUGGGCGUAAAGAGCGUGUAGGCGGCCAGGUAGGUCUGCUGUGAAAACUCGAGGCUUAACCUCGAGAUGUCGGCGGAAACCAUCUGGCUAGAGUCCGGAAGAGGAGAGUGGAAUUCCAGGUGUAGCGGUGAAAUGCGUAGAUAUCUGGAGGAACACCGGUGGCGAAGGCGGCAUCCUGGACCGACACUGACGCUGAGGAGCGAAAGCCAGGGGAGCAAACGGG